rnacentral:rRNA from 1 species
CCUACGGGAGGCAGCAGUGGGGAAUUUUGGACAAUGGGCGCAAGCCUGAUCCAGCAAUGCCGCGUGAGUGAAGAAGGCCUUCGGGUUGUAAAGCUCUUUUGUCAGGGAAGAAACGGCUGAGGUUAAUACCUUUGGCUAAUGACGGUACCUGAAGAAUAAGCACCGGCUAACUACGUGCCAGCAGCCGCGGUAAUACGUAGGGUGCAAGCGUUAAUCGGAAUUACUGGGCGUAAAGCGUGCGCAGGCGGUUUUGUAAGUCUGACGUGAAAUCCCCGGGCUCAACCUGGGAAUUGCGUUGGAGACUGCAAGGCUGGAGUCUGGCAGAGGGGGGUAGAACUCCACGUGUAGCAGUGAAAUGCGUAGAGAUGUGGAGGAACACCGAUGGCGAAGGCAGCCCCCUGGGUCAAGACUGACGCUCAUGCACGAAAGCGUGGGGAGCAAACAGGAUUAGAUACCCUGGUAGUCCACGCCCUAAACGAUGUCUACUAGUUGUCGGGUCUUAAUUGACUUGGUAACGCAGCUAACGCGUGAAGUAGACCGCCUGGGGAGUACGGUCGCAAGAUUAAAACUCAAAUGAAAUUGACGG